UAAGGAAUAUUGGGCAAUGGACGCAAGUCUGACCCAGCCAUGCCGCGUGAAGGAUGAAGGCCCUAUGGGUUGUAAACUUCUUUUAUACGGGAAAGAACCACCGGUCGUGUAUCGGUGCUGAUGGUACCGUAAGAAUAAGCAUCGGCUAACUCCGUGCCAGCAGCCGCGGUAAUACGGAGGAUGCAAGCGUUAUCCGGAUUCAUUGGGUUUAAAGGGUGCGCAGGCGGAUUAAUAAGUCAGUGGUGAAAUCCUACGGCUCAACUGUAGAACUGCCAUUGAUACUGUUAGUCUUGAGUAUUGUUGAGGUAGGCGGAAUGUGUCAUGUAGCGGUGAAAUGCUUAGAUAUGACACAGAACACCAAUCGCGAAGGCAGCGUACCAAGCAAUAACUGACGAUCAUGCAAGAAAGCGUAGGGAACAAACA
rnacentral:rRNA from 1 species